rnacentral:rRNA from 1 species
GACGAACGCUGGCGGCGGGCUUAACACAUGCGAGUCGAACGGAAAGGCCUGUCCUUCCUUGUGUUGGACGGGUACUCGAGUGGCGAACGGGUGAGUAACACGGGAUUGAUCUGCCCCCAACUUGGGUAUAAGCCUGGGAAACUGUGUCUAAUCCUCGAUAGGACUGCAGGGUGGUGCCGGUGGUGGAAAACGAUUUGCUAGUGGGUGGGGAUGAGUCCGCGGCCUAUCUGCGGGGUGGUGGGGGAAUGGCCUGCCAAGGCGGCGACGGGUAGCCAGACUGGGAGGGUGCACGGUGGCAUUGGGACUCGGUCACGGCCCCGACUCGUGCGAGCGGCAGCGAUUGGGAAUAUUGCACCAUGGGCCGGAGCCUGCCGCAGCGACGCCGCGUGGAGGAUGACGGCCUUCUGGUUGUAAUCUCCUUUCGAACACGAGGAGGCCGCCUGGUUGGAGGGGUGGUGACGGUAGUGGUAGAAGAAGCACCGGCUAACUACGUG